rnacentral:lncRNA from 1 species
GCUCUCAGCAGGGCGGCCAAGAGAGGCAGCCCUCACUUCCCAGAAAACUUCAAUUCCUCAUUACCUGUGUCAGCUGGGGUUCAAUCAGGAGACAGAAACCACACCAGUUAGUUUGAAAAGAGAAUUCAGCAUAAGGAACUGAUAAUGAGGUAUGAAGUUGUUAAUUAGGUAAGGAGAGGGUAAGGAGAGAGAAGAGUAAGCUUUCAUGGGGGUUGCACCUGCAGGAGCAGCUACCACUCCAGGGCUGGAGAACCCUAAGGAAGAGUUUUGAAGGAGGGUUCCAGAGCCUGUGACCCAGACAUCUGAGGAGGGGGCUCAACUCAGCGGGAGCUGGGGUCUCCGGGUGUGAAGAAAGGACUCCUGCACCCAGACCUCUGCGGAAGGGGCACCUGCCAGCUGGUGCUGGGGUCUCUCAGGCUUCAUUUGCAUCAGAGGUGGGACAGCUUGUUACAUAUCACCCUUGGCUGUGAUCAUAGCCUCAGAUGCUUCUCAACUGGAGCAAACUCAAGCAGGCUGUUUGAAAACAUUUUGAAAACCUCCCAGCCAGAAACCUUGUUCCAGCAGUGCAGAGCAGCUCAGGUCCUGCCUUGAAUCAAAAGGAAGGAGACUGAGCCUCUCAGAGGACCAGGAACCAAGCCAAGGCUUGACAAAACCAGCCUCUCUCUCUCUGCUGUCUGGAAAGGCAGGCACUGAGAGAGAUGACCUUGGCCAGGCCAUGCAGGAAGACGGGAAAAUUGCUUACAGCUCUGACAGGAGCUGCACCCUGCAAAAAACAGCCUUUGGAUUGUUGACUCACCAAACUAGCCAGUUCGUGUUAAUGCAGCUGUGACACAGGAUGGCUUUGCUGCCUCCUAGGUGGUGAGACAAAGGGACGUGAGGAGGGGGCAAAAGGGAACGCAGAAAAAUACCUGGUUCAUGCAGACCUGUGGGAACAGCUGCCAAACAAAAAUUACUGAGGACAUUUGUGAGGGUAACUGGCGGAGAUCUUACCAGAGAUUUGAACUGUAAAGGAAAGUGGUAAAGUUUUAUUUAGGACACCCCAAGGCGGAGCUGAGCACGGUGGAAGGUCCAACUCGAUUCUCGAAUAGUAAGAGAACAAAGUAUCUGGAUACACUUCUCAUGCUCAUUCAUCCUGUGCCAUGUAAUUGGGGUUCAAAACUAGGAUGGAAAACCUAAAAAAAAAUUAUUAGUGAAUGAGGAAGUGGCAAAAGAAAAAAAAAUUUACUCAACAAAGACAAAGGUUCCUUGGGCACUUAGAAUGCACUGGGCACUGUGUUAGGGGUAUUGAGUGGACAAGAGUGAUCACCAGCUUCCAGUCCAGAGAGAAGGGCAGAUGUAGGAUAAGGAGAACCAGGAUGGACACCGAGCAGCAGGAGUUCCAUGUGUUACAAGUUCUGUCCCCAAGGGCCUCUCUGCCUGAGGGUCUCCCGCUGGGACGGCCAUCUUCGUUACCACUGCUCUACCUGCACUUGCGGCUCCCUUAUGGAAGUGGGUAUUUCUGGGCUCUGCCCUCGGAGAGUCUGCUUUCAUCUGCAUGGGGAAGGAAAUCUGUAUUUUUUUCCCCGGGCUCUCCAGGUAAUUAUGGUAAGCUGGGUCUGGAACACUUCCUCUCGUAGACUCAGGUUAGAAAGUUGCUGGGUGGUACAAAGUCCAUGCUGAGAAGGCACAGUUGAAUACAUCCUGCUCUCCUGUAGGAGAUCCUGAGUGUCCUCUCCUCUGGGAGCCAGCCUAGAUGGUGUUAGGGUCCCUCCUCUGUGCUACACUAGUGAUCUGGGCCCGCUUGCUUUAGCACAGUCUGUUAUCAUGCUGGCUUAUUCUAGGUCUCUGCCAUUAGGCUCUGAAUUCCAACAUGGCUGUUGUAUCUCACUCACCUCCUUUUCCCUGGUGUUUGGCAUAAAGGGUAUACAAUAAAUAUCUGUUGCUAAAUGAGGGAGGGGAGCGCGUUUUUUUUGAGAUAGAGUCUCACUCUGUCGCCCAGGCUGGAAUGCAGUGGCACG